rnacentral:lncRNA from 1 species
AAGAAAGGAAAGAAUGUAUUAUUACAUAAUCAUAAAGUGAAUAUUAACCUGAGAAGGGGGAUGGAGGGAAAAGAAAUUCAGAUCGAUUGUUACAAAAAAACUGAAUCCUCUUUUUAAAUAAAUGUAUUAGGAAUUUAGAUAUUAAUGCUUAAAAUAGAUAAAUCCAUAUAUAGCAGGAUGAACAUUACUAUUUAGAAGUAAGCGGAUAAAUACUAAAAGAAAUCACAUUGAAAUUCGUUGCCUCUUAGUAGUAGGGAGGAGAGAAUUGCUCUUUUUUUCUUAUAUACUUUUAGUAUUGUCAGAGUUUGUAAAACCAUGUGCAUGUAUAGUUUUGAUUAAAAAUUUAACAAUAAAGUAUGAAAUUAUGAAUUUAAAGAGAAAACUUGGCUGGUAUGUAUCAAAUAAAGUUGAAGGCACAGGGAUAGUGCAACAAUCCUAGAUCUGAGGUGAUGAACAAAUGGUGACAACUGGGAGGAAACCAAAGCGUUGGCUUGAAAAGGCAUUUUAAAGGCAUAUACUGUGGGAGUUAAGACCCCACCAGUUUGGAAAAUGAGGUGAAACAUUGAGUUCUAUUUUGAGCCAUUAAUAACAACAAGAAAGAAACAACAAUAACAACAACAACAACAAAAAGAAAAGACAAAAGACAAAAAAAAAAAAAAAAAAAGGAAAUUAGGAUGUCUAGAAAAUGUACAGCACCUAGGCUUCCAUAUAAGAAGAGAAAAGAGUAUCAGGGUAUUUGGCUCAGGAAAAGGUUCUUCUUAGUCCCUGGAACGUGCACUGCAAGUAACCAACUGUAUAUGCUGAACUGAAAUCUUCUAUCAUUUUUGGAGAAGUAUUUUAGUAUCUCCACCUUUCUGCCAGAUUAUCCCAAAGGUAGAGAGAACCAGCUGAAUAGUUGUGGCUGCCUUCUCAGCAAAGAAAUGAUCUUCGCCUGUUCCCACCCACCAGCAUGCAGGCGGACUAAGUAUAACUGAAGCAGAGCAUGAACUGGCUUUACUCCUCAGAAGUGUAGGUCCUUUAAAAACGGAGUGCAUUCUUAUGGAUAAAUAGCUACAUUAGCACUACAUUUCACAGAAAGCAACACUUGCCGUUCAAAACUGUACAUUUUUGGGGUUCCCAUUGUGGCUCAGCAGGUUAAGAACCCGAUGUUUUCUCUGUGAGGAUGUGGGUUUGAUCAUUGGCCGUGCUCAGUGGGUUAAGGAUCUGGCAUUGCCGUAAGCUGUGUCAUAGGUCACAGAUGUGGCUUGGGUCCAGUAUUGCUGUGGCUGUGGCAUAGGCCACAGCUGCAGCUCCAAUUUGACCCCUAGCCUGGGAACUUC